GCACUGCUGAGGAGUUGCAUGAUAAGACGAAACGGUUGUCCAGUGC
rnacentral:hammerhead_ribozyme from 1 species